rnacentral:rRNA from 1 species
AUUGAACGCUGGCGGCAGGCCUAACACAUGCAAGUCGAACGAGUGGCGGACGGGUGAGUAAUGUAUGGGAAACUGCCCGAUGGAGGGGGAUAACUACUGGAAACGGUAGCUAAUACCGCAUACCAUCGGAUGUGCCCAGAUGGGAUUAGCUAGUAGGUGGGGUAACGGCUCACCUAGGCGACGAUCCCUAGCUGGUCUGAGAGGAUGAACAGCAACGCUGGGACUGAGACACGGUCCAGACUCCUACGGGAGGCAGCAGUGGGGAAUAUUGCACAAUGGGCGCAAGCCUGAGGCAGCCAUGCCGCGUGUAUGAAGAAGGCCUUCGGGUUGUAAAGUACUUUCAGCGAGGAGGCGUUACUCGCAGAAGAAGCACCGGCUAACUCCGUGCCAGCAGCCGCGGUAAUAC